rnacentral:sRNA from 1 species
GGCACUUCAGAUGACUCUGAUCCGUAAGUUCUGACAAUUAAUCAAAAAUAUGAAGUCUUGUAAGUCAAGUGUGAGGUUUCAGGUCUUUAGCACUGUCGUACCUGCGGGCUGACAAGU